rnacentral:rRNA from 1 species
CAGAGGGUGCGAGCGUUAAUCGGAAUUACUGGGCGUAAAGCGCGCGUAGGCGGCUUUGCAAGUCGGGUGUGAAAUCCCCAGGCUUAACCUGGGAACUACAUUCGAGACUGCAUUGCUAGAGUAUCGGAGAGGGAAGUGGAAUUUCAGGUGUAGCGGUGAAAUGCGUAGAUAUCUGAAGGAACAUCAGUGGCGAAAGCGACUUCCUGGACGAAUACUGACGCUCAUGUGCGAAAGCGUGGGGAGCAAACAGGAUUAGAUACCCUGGUAGUCCACGCCAUAAACGAUGAGAACUGGAUGUCGGGAGGGUCUGCCUCUCGGUGUCGUAGCUAACGCGUUAAGUUCUCCGCCUGGGGAGUACGGCCGCGAGGUUG